ACUCAAAUGAAUAGACGGGGGCCCGCACAAGCGGUGGAGCAUGUGGUUUAAUACGUCACUAACCGUAGAACCUUACCCAGGUUUGACAUCUGGGGAAUCUUGAUGAAAGUCAGGAGUGCUUCGUAAGAAGAACCCCAAGACAGGUGUUGCAUGGCUGUCGUCAGCUCGUGUCGUGAGAUGUUGGGUUAAGUCCCGCAACGAGCGCAACCCUCAUCCGAUGUUGCCAGCGAGAAAGUCGGGAACUCUUCGGAAACUGCCCGUGUAAGCGGGAGGAAGGUGGGGAUGACGUCAAGUCAGCAUGGCCCUUACGCCUGGGGCUACACACAUGCUACAAUGGACGUGAACAAAGGGCAGCGAAGCCGCGAGGCGGAGCUAAUCUCAAAAAUACGUUCUCAGUUCGGAUCGUAGUCUGCAACUCGACUACGUGAAGUCGGAAUCGCUAGUAACCGCAGGUCAGCUAAACUGCGGUGAAUACGUUCCCGGGCCUUGUACACACCGCCCGU
rnacentral:rRNA from 1 species